rnacentral:rRNA from 1 species
GACAGAGGAGCCAAGCGUUGUCCGGACUGACUGGGCGUAAAGCGCACGCAGGCGGCGCUGCGCGUGGGGUGUGAAAGCUCUUGGCUUAACUGAGAGAGGCCAUCCCAUACGGCAGUGCUCGAGCGGUGCAGAGGUCCGCGGAAUUGCCGGUGUAGUGGUGAAAUGCGUAGAGAUCAUGAGGAAGACCAGUGGCGAAGGCGGGUCUCUGGACAGUUCCUGACACUGAGACACGAAGGCCAGGGGAGCAAACGGG